rnacentral:RNase_P_RNA from 2 species
GCAGCGGGACAGGUGGUCGCCGGCGGACGGGGAAACCCGGACGCGGGAGGAAAGUCCGAGCUCCGCAGGGCAGGGUGCCGGGUAACGCCCGGUGGGAGUGAUCUCGAGGAGAGUGCCACAGAGAAGAGACCGCCGCGCCGCGGGGAAACCCGCCACGAGGUAAGGGUGAAACGGUGGGGUAAGAGCCCACCGCGUCCCUGGUAACAGGGAUGGCACGGUAAACCCCACCUGGAGCAAGGCCGUGUAGGGAAGUGCUCCCGGUUUCGGCCGAGGAGCAGGGGUGGCCCGCCCCGAUGCUUCCGGGUUGGCUGCUGGAGGCGCGUGGUGACGCGCGUCCUAGAGGAAUGAUCGCCGGCCUGGCGGGGGAGACUCCUCCAGGCAACAGAACUCGGCUUACGUACCCUGCGACC